rnacentral:rRNA from 1 species
CCUACGGGGGACUGCAGUGAGGAAUAUUGGUCAAUGGGCGCUAGCCUGAACCAGCCAAGUAGCGUGAAGGAUGACUGCCCUAUGGGUUGUAAACUUCUUUUAUAUGGGAAUAAAGUGCAGUAUGUAUACUGCUUUGCAUGUACCUUAUGAAUAAGGAUCGGCUAACUCCGUGCCAGCAGCCGCGGUAAUACGGAGGAUCCGAGCGUUAUCCGGAUUUAUUGGGGUUAAAGGGAGCGUAGGCGGGUUGUUAAGUCAGUUGUGAAAGUUUGCGGCUCAACCGUAAAAUUGCAGUUGAUACUGGCAGCCUUGAGUACAGUAGAGGUAGGCGGAAUUCGUGGUGUAGCGGUGAAAUGCUUAGAUAUCACGAAGAACUCCGAUUGCGAAGGCAGCCUGCUGGACUGUAACUGACGCUGAUGCUCGAAAGUGUGGGUAUCAAACAGGAUUAGAUACCCCUGUAGUC